UACCAGCACCCCGAGUGGUCGGGACGUUUAUUGGGCCUAAAGUAUCCGUAGCCGGUUCUACAAGUCUUCCGUUAAAUCCAACUGCUUAACAGGUGGGCUGCGGAAGAUACUAUAGAGCUAGGAGGCGGGAGAGGCAAGCGGUACUCGAUGGGUAGGGGUAAAAUCCGUUGAUCCAUUGAAGACCACCAGUGGCGAAGGCGGCUUGCCAGAACGCGCUCGACGGUGAGGGAUGAAAGCUGGGGGAGCAAACCGG
rnacentral:rRNA from 1 species